rnacentral:lncRNA from 1 species
GAACAGUAUUAUGAAAACCUAGAGAGGAGAGAAUUAUUAGGAACAGGGUGAUCCAGCAGUGUCAAAGUUUUCCAUGAGAUCAAGAAGGAUUGGGUUUGUGGGAAGGUCAUUAGAUUUAGCAAUUUGAAAGGUUAGGAGAAUGAGUUGUCAGGUCAUAGUCUUAUAACCCAAAACCAAGGAAAAAUAAUAAUAAGCCAAACUCAGCUGUGGAGUGACCCUGUACACAAGAUUCUAAGCCUUAGAGGAAGAGAAUUAUCCAUGAUCUUUUCUCUUUCAGAUGUGAACUUGAUGAGACAAUUGCAUAGUUGAAAUUACUUAUGCUUGAGCCUACUUUCCCCAGGAACCAAGGUGGCAUAAGGGAGAGUGCUCUCAGGUAUUGAUUCCUGAGAAAAUUUCUGUUUUAAGAGAACUGUGCCUAGGACCUCUACUCCUUUGCGGCAGACCACCAAUGCUCCUCUUCAGCCUGGAACUGGGACCUAGAACUGUUAUAGGUAAUAGAGUUGCUAAUCAGUGCCAACUAUACCCAAUGCCAACAAAGGAUCCCCUGUAAUCUUCUAAAAUAAUUUUUUAAAAUUCCAAGACAUUUUAUUUUCCCAGUUACAUGUAAUAAUAAUUUUCAACAUGUUUUCCGAAAUUAUAAGAUCUAAAUUGUCUCCCUCCCUUUCUUCCCUCCAUCUCUGUAGGAGAUGAUAAGCAAUUUGAUCUGUGUUUUAUGGGUAUUAUCAUGGAAAACAUUCCACAUUGGCCAUUGUUUUAAGGCAAUGCUCUUAUAAAACCAAAACCCCAAAAUAAAAUCAUAAAUUCAUAUGAAAAAUAGUGUGUU